rnacentral:rRNA from 1 species
GAUGAACGCUGGCGGCGUGCCUAAUACAUGCAAGUCGAGCGAACGGACGAGAAGCUUGCUUCUCUGAUGUUAGCGGCGGACGGGUGAGUAACACGUGGAUAACCUACCUAUAAGACUGGGAUAACUUCGGGAAACCGGAGCUAAUACCAGAUAAUAUUUUGAACCGCAUGGUUCAAAAGUGAAAGACGGUCUUGCUGUCACUUAUAGAUGGAUCCGCGCUGCAUUAGCUAGUUGGUAAGGUAACGGCUUACCAAGGCAACGAUGCAUAGCCCACCUGAGGGGGGGUUGGCCCACCUGGAACUUGAGACCCGGCCCACACCCCACGGGGGGGCAGGAGUGGGAAAUUUGCCCAAGUGGGCGAAACCCUGCCGGCGAAACCCGGGGGGGGUAGAAAGGUUUUGGGGUGUAAAAAACCCUUUUAUUAGGAAAAAAAAUUUGGGAAAGUAACGUUCACAAUCUGACGGUACCUAAAAAAAAAGGCACGGCUAACUUCGUG